GAAAAUCAAAAUGGGUUUUUGGUAAAAUCUUGAAAAACAAAAAUAAAAUCCACAGGGUUUAAGCAUGGAUGCAAGAGAAACUGUGAGUAGUAGUAGUGGAGGUGGGGUUACAGUGGUGGGGUCCGAUGNNNNUCCAUCGAACUACAAGAUCGCUCCAAGGUCCGCCGACAACCCUAGCUCCGUCCCUGGAUCCGCGCCACCUCCGCAGCCGCAACCGGCGAUGGUGCCUCCGCCAUCCACGGCGGCGACGUUGCCUUUGAAGAAGAAACGAGGAAGGCCAAGAAAAUAUGGUCCUGACGGCAGCAUCACGAUGGCGUUGUCUCCAAAGCCGAUA
rnacentral:misc_RNA from 1 species